GGUUGCUAUGCAAUUGCUAACCUGUAUACAUGCUUAGUAAGUUGUCAUUCUGGACCAUGGAGAAUGUGCAAUGAUCUGACGCCUUCUCUUUUAUUUUAUUUUAUUUUUUUUAUUUUUUAUUUUUUUUUUUUAUUAUUUUAUGCAAAGCAGGCUUUAAUAGUAAUUGUUUCAGAUAUGAGCUCAAAAACAUCAGCUUGAUUUAGUGAUUUAACAGGCUUAGGGCACAGAAGAAUGCUGGUUAGUCAAUCCUUUGCUUUGGAGGAACGCAUCCUGCUUCGGGUCACGGCCAAGAAAGUUACAAAGCAUUUCUGAGGCAUCAAGAGACCCACCUGGUUUCAGAAUAUAGUUCCUAUAAUCUGCACCCACCUCUUUGCACAUUAUGCCUUCCUGUUUAAACCGUGUGUAAAACAUGUCCAUAGAAAACACCUCACUCCAUAAAUAGCCAUAGUACUGUGCAUCAUAUCCUCCAGCAAGAUGGCCAAAUGUG